rnacentral:lncRNA from 1 species
UGUCUGAGAACCUCGGCUGGCCUUGGAGAAAAAAAUGGGCAGAAGCCCCUCCUUCCCUUGGGAGCUGCUUUUGAGGUGAGGCUCUCCUGCUUGGUGUCCGCCUGAGCUGUACUGCAGCUGCGCCGCAGCCAUGCCCAUGCCUGGCCAUGUACGCCCUCGAUCCAGACCCCAGCCUUGACCCCCAGACUUCCUUCCCGGUGCGACCUCGGCUUGUCCGGUGAGCUGAACUGAAUGCUGUCAUGGAUGGUGCAGCUUCCCCCUGCAGAUCUACCAAUAUAAAAUCUACAGUUUGUUUUUUCAGAGAGGCACAGCAGUAUGUUUGCCACAGCCAUACCACCUGCAGGGCAUUUUAUGCACAAAUCCCCCACAGCGCUCUUUCGAGGCAUGUGUCAAAGUUGUGUUGA